rnacentral:rRNA from 1 species
GACAGAGGGUGCAAACGUUGUUCGGGAUUACUGGGCGUAAAGCGCGUGUAGGCGGCCCUGUAAGUCGGGUGUGAAAUCCCACGGCUCAACCGUGGAAGUGCAUUCGAAACUACAGGGCUAGAGUUCUGGAGAGGAAGGUGGAAUGCUUGGUGUAGAGGUGAAAUUCGUAGAUAUCAAGCGGAACACCGGUGGCGAAGGCGGCCUUCUGGACAGUAACUGACGCUGAGACGCGAAAGCGUGGGGAGCAAACAGG